rnacentral:lncRNA from 1 species
UAUUCUCAUGCAUAAAAGACUAUUGCAUAUGGCCUGCCACUAGACCUGUAGUCUAAGUCCGUCUUGUGCAGUUUAUGUGUUAUGCCGGUUCAUUCUUCUUCUAGUUAAAACUCAUCUGGAAAAGCAGAUGCUCAGUUCAUCCACCACCACCUUUUGGUUGGUCUGAAGACCUUGAACUUGCUCUUGAAGCCAAGUUCAACAUGGG